GAUGAACGCUGGCGGCAUGCCUAAGACAUGCAAGUCGAACGAAGUGUACCAAUGAAGAAGGAGUGCUUGCACGAAUUUUGAUUUGGAUUCGCACUUAGUGGCAGACGGGUGAGUAACACGUAGGUAACCUGCCUCAGAGACUGGGAUAACAGUUAGAAAUGACUGCUAAUACCGGGUGAAAUAUAUAUAGGUAGCUAAAUAUAUUAAAAGGAGCUUUCGGGCUUCACUUUGAGAUGGGCUUGCGGCGUAUUAGCUAGUUGGUGGGGUAAUGGCCUACCAAGGCAACGAUGCGUAUCCGAGCUGAGAGGCUGAUCGGACACACUGGGACUGAGACACGGCCCAG
rnacentral:rRNA from 1 species